CCGAUCUCGCGGUGUGGAUAACAGUUAACUGUGACAGUUUGGCAUGUUGACAUUCCUGUGCUUCGUGAAAAAACUGUAUUUGCCUGGCAUUAUGGUUCUACUUGUUUGCUGUCGCCCACUGUCCAAAUUAUUCAUCAGUGCUCAUUGAAACAUGCCAAAAUAUCUGUUAGUGCUCCUAAAAAUGUUUGCCAUUGCAAAAUUUUCUAAAUUCUAUACUUUUCUUGCAUGUGAAGUUAGAUUUCUUAGAAUCCUUUAGGAACUUUUUGCUUAAAACCCGUACCAAUCUGUAUUGUUUUCCGAGUUGAAGCAAAAGGAAAUGGUUAAACAAUUUGUUUAUCUUACAAUGACUGUGGGCUUGUCAUUCUUUUUCUUGCGGCAAUUGUUCCUUCAACCGAUGUUCUGUUGAUGUCUAUCAUUUGUAAGUUAAGCAAACUUCUAACAUCUUUAUUUUUUUUUCCUUUUUGCAGGAAGCAAACGGCCUGCAACCGUAGAUGUCAUCAACGAACCUCAAGUGUGCAUUAAGCCUGUGUUUACAGACGUUGUCAUCAAGACUGAACCUCUGGACACUGCAGAUGAUUCGCCUGUCAGUGGCUGCUGUGACACCUGCACAACAGUAGACGGUCACGAGCACGAAUGCGACAUCUGUCACAAGAUCUUCAACACGUGCCUGCACCUCCUUCAGCACUCCGUUGUGCACUACAAGGAGGUUCCGUUCAUGUGUUCAAAUUGCGGAGCAGUGUUUGCGCGCCGGGAAGACAAGGAGAAGCACGAGGGCAGACACACCGACAAGGAGGUGCACCGGUGCGUGAGGUGCGGCAUGUUGUGCCUGAAUGAGACAAUGUUCCGGCUACACAUUCUGGAACACUAUGGCCAGCCUUCGUUCGACUGCCACUUGUGCCCUAUGGUGUUUCCGUUAGAGGAACAGCUUAUAAGUCAUUUACAAAUCCACGGCGAGGAACCAGUUCAUAGGUGCCCACAAUGUGAUGCCACAUUUAGGAGCAAAGGUUGGCUUUCAAAGCACCUUAAAUCCCACCACACUGUUUGAAGUUACUGGUGUCAAUACUGCCCCAAGGCCUUGCAGGGACAAGCUAGUGUGGAGGAGUUCGAGAGAAUCCACACUGGUGAAUGAUCCUUCAGCUGCAGCGCAUGCAAGAAGGCAUGGCACACACUCCUUCGUAAACAUGUAUGUGAACAGAAAGCCGAUGACCUGUGAGCGUCUGACGCUUUUUUUAGUAACACAACGUGAACCUGGUAAACUUGCAUCAUAUUGGCUUGUUGAGUCAAUAUCCGGUUUUCUUUAUAAAUGCUAGUGGGUCGGGUGGUGAGGAGCAUCAUGGCAAGCUAAGUCUGCUUGCCUGCAAGAGAAGCGCUGACUCAUUUGACACCGUUUGCAUUUAUUUAUUAUUAUUUAUUAUUCUGACAUUCUCAUUUUGGCCCUUGCUAUGUGAGCAUAUGUUGUAAACGCUGGCAUAGCCAUGGGUGUUCAAAGCCCCCGAAAUUUUUCAAUUUGGCAUGUGUAUAUAUAUAUAUAUAUAUAUAUAUACGCACGCAUACAAGCACAUACGUAAACAUACGUAAAGGGUGCUGAAUCCAUUCUCCCUCCCUGAAAAAAAUUCUUUUUAAAGAGACAGGGCAUGCAAACACAGACACAAGAGAGAAGUCAAGACGCCACAAACGCGGUGUUUGGGGUGUCUUGACUUCUCUCUUGUGUCCGUGCUUGCACGCCCUGUCUCUUUAACAUGAAUACUUACCAACUAGCUCAGCUCUCUGUUAUUUUAAGCCGAAAAAAUUUAUGCCUACGCCCCUGGUUGUAAAGUUCAUAAGAGAGUGACUGUACUCAUUUUGAUCUGACUUUAGCAGUUCAUUAUGUAAAUUUUUCUUAUGUUUCCCGAGACUGAAGUGAUUCUGUGCAUUUGUGCCAGCCACAUGGAACAAAGUGUUCAAGGGUCUGUGAUCCAGGGGUGGCCAUGUGAUCUUUUCUUCCCUGUGAACUUAUUUUUGUAAAUAGAAGCCAAUAAAGCUUUAUGUAAAGGAAACUU
rnacentral:misc_RNA from 1 species